rnacentral:rRNA from 1 species
UGGGGAAUAUUGCACAAUGGGCGAAAGCCUGAUGCAGCGACGCCGCGUGCGGGAUGAAGGCCUUCGGGUUGUAAACCGCUUUUAAUUGGGAGCAAGCGAGAGUGAGUGUACCUUUUGAAUAAGCACCGGCUAACUACGUGCCAGCAGCCGCGGUAAUACGUAGGGUGCAAGCGUUAUCCGGAAUUAUUGGGCGUAAAGAGCUCGUAGGCGGUUUGUCACGCCUGGUGUGAAAGUCCAUCGCUUAACGGUGGAUCUGCGCCGGGUACGGGCAGGCUAGAGUGCAGUAGGGGAGAUUGGAAUUCCCGGUGUAACGGUGGAAUGUGUAGAUAUCGGGAAGAACACCAAUGGCGAAGGCAGAUCUCUGGGCUGUUACUGACGCUGAGGAGCGAAAGCAUGGGGAGCGAACAGGAUUAGAUACCCGUGGUAGUCCAUGCCGUAAACGGUGGAUGCUGGAUGUGGGACCCUUCCACGGGUUCCGUGUCGGAGCUAACGCGUU